rnacentral:tRNA from 1 species
UACGGUAUAGCGCAGUGGUAGAGUACGUGCUUGGCAUGCACGAGGUCUUGGGUUUGAUCCCCUGGACCAUUA